rnacentral:lncRNA from 1 species
AUAAUGAUUCUAAUUUUACGAUGGUUUUAGUUUUCACAAUUAUAUAAGUGCGAAAAACUAUUUAAUUCAUACAUGUAAAGAAAGCUUGAGCUAUAUAAAGUGAUCAAAUUAUUUUCUAUUUGUUACAUGCAAAGUGGAAAUAUGGUUAAAUUUAUGAAACUUGUUAUUUUUAUGACUCUAAUUCUUUCCCUUAUUCUUGUUGCGGCUAACUUUGACGGUAACCCAUUUUUUCUUUUUCUUUUUUUUAAAUUUUCUUCUUAACUUUUAAUAUAAUCAUAUAUCCCCUUUAAUUAGUAACAGUUUUAUGCUUUCUUGUGUUUCAUUACAGCGGUUUUUGACUGUGAUAACGACUCUCAAUGUAUAAACAAAGUUAAGUGUAAGGCUCCAUUGAUUCCGUUUUGCAGAAACCACAAAUGUGUUUGUGAUCCUCAUAAUGGUAUAAAAACCACUUGGAGUGAAAGAUCAUAGUGAGUGCAUGAAUUUCCUAUAUGGUAGAAUGGUUUCUUGAACUACCAAAAUAUCAAAUAGUUUAUGAUAAAAUAUUUCAUGAUGCCACUUAAGUGCUACAUUGGCAUCCAAUGAUUGAAUUUGUUUUCUUUUUCUUUUUCCAUUCCUAAUUUCACAUACCAUGCAGUUAUGGUUCUGUAAUUUGAAUUCUCUUAUAAUACAUUGUUCCUUAUACUUCAAUUUAGUAUUAUAUGUAAGAUCUUCAAUUUUAGUAUCCAAUUUUGAUUGUUGUUCGUCAGAUUGUUGUCUUAGUUUCGUUGAGCAUGCGUGACAUCCUUUUUUGAAUAAAUU